GGUCCGUUGGUCAAGGGGUUAAGACACCGCCUUUUCACGACGGUAACACGGGUUCGAAUCCCGUACGGACUA
rnacentral:tRNA from 1 species